rnacentral:rRNA from 1 species
GCGAAGCUAAUUGCAUUUACUUAAAAUUAAAUUUUAAGAGAGUGUCCCUUUUUAUUUAUAAAAAAUUGGAUGGCUUUUAAGAGAGUGGUCCCUUUUUUAAAAAUUUGAAAACCUUUUAAAGAGGAAGGGUCCAUUUUUUAUGUAGUUACUAUUUUGUAGUUUAAAAUUCUAGAUAGAAUUAUGAUGAUGACAUUAUCUAUCUAUUAGUCUUGACCAAAUUACGUGCCAGCAGUCGCGGUAAUACGUAAAAGACAAGUGUUAUUCAUCUUUAUUGGGUUUAAAGAGUACCAAGACGGUUAAUAAAGCCCAAAAUACAUGAACACAGGGGACACAUUAACUAGAGUUAUAUGAAAGGAAGCACUAAAGUACUGUUGAGUGUAGAGAUAAAAUUCUUUCAUACCAGAUAAAGGCACAGAUUUAUGCGAAGGCAUCUUCUUAUGUAAUAACUGACGUUGUAGGACGAAGGCUUUUUAAGUGAAGAGGAUUAGAUACCCUUGUAAUCUAAGCAGAAAAUGAUGAAUGUCAUAGGUUUAAUAUAUUAUUGGGUCUAUAAAUGAAAGUGUAAGCAUUCCACCUCAAGAGUAAUUUGGCAACAUUGGAACUGAAAUCAUUAGACCGUUUCUGAAACCAGUAGUGAAGUAUGUUGUUUAAUUAGAUGAUACACAAAAAACCUUACCACAAUUUGAAUAUAUAUCUUUAAAGAUAUUUACAAGCGUUGCACGGCUGUCUUCAGUUAAUGUCGUGAGAUUUUGGUUAGUUCCAUAAAAUUAACGUAAACCCUCGUUUUAUUUAGAAAUAAAAUUUAGAUCUGUUUCAAU